rnacentral:lncRNA from 1 species
CUCCCCUGCCGCGUGUGUUCACCCGCAUCCCAGGAGCACCAAGCAUUUGCUUAGAGGACCUAAGAGAGGCUCUAGAGUAAACUCUUGUAUACUUGAAUCUAUUAGAUGCAGAUGACGUGAAAAGGACAUUUCCCAGGCAGGAAAGGAAUAUACUGAGCUGUUUCCUCCAUCUCUAACUAUAAUCCCAGUGACAUCAUUUUUGCUGGGUCUCCCUGGUUGGAAAGACUUGACCUCAGUUCGGGUUAGAGGCCAGUCUUCUGGAUGCCAGGAGUGGGCAAGCAUCUUCUAGGAAGCCAGGGAGCUGGAGGAGUCCUACUUAAACCUCAGGCCUUAUCCUUAAUUGAAUCAAAGGGCAGAGGGACUCACAGCUCAGGAGCCAUGAAAUUUUAUCCCUGUUCAUCAUUCCUUCUUGGAGUCUUCCUCCAGGAUCAAUUCAACCAGACUCUCUGACAUUUCAGCAGAUAGAAGUUCUUGACCUCUCUGCAUCUUGGUAGGCUCAACAGAAGAAAAUCUUUGUCUUUGGGUGGGAAAGAGUGCCUGACAAUGCUGAGCCUUAUCAAAUGCUUUCUGGAACAAAAAGGAAGAGAAAGUGUUUUGGCAAAGUGGCUGUUUUGUUGUGUUGUAUUAAACCUCAAUUCUUAUUUGGCAUUUGAAAAUAGCAAUAAAUGCGUCAAAUAGAAUAAAAGAGUAAUACCA